AUGGAGGCACACAAAGAAAGGGAAGAGAAAUUAGAAAAAGAGAACACAAGAGGAAUAUCAGAGAAGAUUGUUAGUAACCAAAUCAAUGAUGAUAGACGUAAAAGGGAAUUAGAGUGUGACAAAGUGACCAAAAAGAUUACUUAUGACAACAUAAUUUCAAGUGGUGAAACAGCUCAAGAUCCUAAUGAUGUAUUGGCUUUCUCUCGAUCAGUUUAUAAUGUUGAUUCCUCACUCGAGUGA